UGUGUGUGUGUGUGUGUGUGUGUGUGUGUGAAAUAGAGAGAGAGGUUCAGUUCCCUGCACUUCUAGUCAGACUCUUAAUCCUGAACUGCGUUUCAUACCUGCAUGUAAAUAUUCAAAAUAUGUAACUGUCAGAAGCAAGUGGGGGAGAAAAAAAAACAAUAAACGUGGAAACAGUCUUCAUAAUUGAAUGCAUUGCAAAUGGGUUUGUGACUGACGAGUCACGUCUGAUGGAAAGGGAGAGAAUCUGAGUCAUUUCGACAGGUGGAAGCAGCUCAUUUGCAUAUGGAACAGAGCUCAACAGAGAAGAAACAGACAAUCGACUUUUCAGGUUCUGCGUGAAUGUGCGAUGUUACCUGCGGUGUUUUUCCCCAAGCUGCAGGAGAAAUCAUCUGUAAUGAAAAUGUCAGAGGAAUAAGACCUUAUGGACACCAACCCUGGGACCAUGGUGGUAGUGACGCUGACCGAUGUGCAUCUGGUCCUGGCAUUUUUCAUGCUCAUUGCUCUGGCCACGGUGCUGAUGGUAUGUGUGCUACGCAGGAAACGCAAGACUGAAGGAACCUACCGGCCGAGUGCAGAGGAGCAAAAACAAGCUGAAAGCCAGGAGUCAGAGAAACCAGGCCUUUCAUUGCCUCUGCCCAAAGAGGAGCGACUGAUCUGAGACCCUCCACCAGAGAACUUUGUGGAAAUCCUUCUUAAAUAGAUGAGAAAUCUUUUGAAAAUGGAGAGAAGCACUUUUUUAUAAUAUUCACGUGUGCAUGGCUUCAGAAUGUCUAAGACAUCCACCCUUACAAUCAUCUGCUGUACAUCCGUUUGUUAAAGUACUCAACACAAGGACUUGAUACAUGUGAUGUAUUUAAUGUAUUCUGAAAGAAAUAAAUGAUAUAAUGGA